GAUGAACGCUGGCGGCGUGCCUAAUACAUGCAAGUCGAGCGAACGGACGAGAAGCUUGCUUUUCUGAUGUUAGCGGCGGACGGGUGAGUAACACGUGGAUAACCUACCUAUAAGACUGGGAUAACUUCGGGAAACCGGGGCUAAUACCGGAUAAUAUUUUGAACCGCAUGGUUCAAAAGUGAAAGACGGUCUUGCUGUCACUUAUAGAUGGAUCCGCGCUGCAUUAGCUAGUUGGUAAGGUAACGGCUUACCAAGGCAACGAUGCAUAGCCGACCUGAGAGGGUGAUCGGCCACACUGGAACUGAGACACGGUCCAGACUCCUACGGGAGGCAGCAGUAGGGAAUCUUCCGCAAUGGGCGAAAGCCUGACGGAGCAACGCCGCGUGAGUGAUGAAGGUCUUCGGAUCGUAAAACUCUGUUAUUAGGGAAGAACAUAUGUGUAAGUAACUGUGCACAUCUUGACGGUACCUAAUCAGAAAGCCACGGCUAACUACGCG
rnacentral:rRNA from 1 species